UACGUAGGGUGCAAGCGUUGUCCGGAAUUACUGGGCGUAAAGGGCUCGUAGGCGGCCAACUAAGUCAUACGUGAAAUCCCUCAGCUUAACUGGGGAACUGCGUGUGAUACUGGAUGGCUUGGAUGUGGGAGAGGGAUGCGGAAUUCCAGGUGUAGCGGUGAAAUGCGUAGAUAUCUGGAGGAACACCGGUGGCGAAGGCGGCAUCCUGGACCAUUAUUGACGCUGAGGAGCGAAAGCCAGGGGAGCAAACGGG
rnacentral:rRNA from 1 species